UUGCUUUAUAUUUAUUAAAGUUUUAACAUAGACAUAGAAAUACGAUAUUCUGACGACAUUUAUCAUCAUACAAUACAACAAAAACUAGAGAAGUGUAUAAUCAUCGGAGACUGCAGAGAUGGGGACGUUAGUAAGUCGCCAACAUGAAGAUUUGAAGAAACCUAUUAUGAAGCUGGGAUUUGACAUUCUGUUCUUUAUUGCAUUGGUCAUCCCGAUUUCCAUUUUCAACUUGACCGAUCUAACGCCGCCGAAUGUUCGAGGCUUUUUCUGUUCCGACAACAGCAUCCGGUAUCCGUUUAGAAAGAGCACCGUGCCCUCAUUAACUCUAUUUUUAAUUGGAAUUCCAGUUGUAAUUGCCGUGACCUGCUUCAUAGAAUGCAUUUAUUACAAGCGAAGUCAGAUUACAAAACGAGGGCUUUUCCAUCCUCUGGUAAUUGCACUGUAUAGAGUAUUCGGUUAUUUCAUCGUCGGUGCCACAAUCAACCAGAUUCUAACUGACACCACAAAAAUUACUGUCGGGAGAUUGCGACCUAUGUUUCUUGAUGUUUGUCUGCCCAGUGUAGCAUGUAAUUCCUCCAUAGAACACAUGUAUAUCUUGGACUAUGAAUGCACGAGGACUUCGUACCCAGGGGCACAGCGCGAAAGAAUUAGAAGAAAUGAAAUCUGAUAUCAGAAAAUCCUUCCCAUCUGGUCACGCAUCAUUCGCCAUGUAUUGUGCUGUUUUUGCAGUGUUUUACCUUGAAUUACGGAUGAAAUACAAGAUCUUACGAAUGUUCAAGAUUGGUCUUCAAGCUUUUGCUUUGGCCGGUGCGAUUUAUACAUGCUGUACAAGAUUCCUCGACAACAAACAUCAUGCAACGGACAUCGUUUUCGGAGCAAUCUAUGGGACAACGAUGGGACUUUUUGCUAUUUACCACUUUUCAAAGUCUUUGAAACCCCAACAUAAAAAACGAAAUUGUGGACAUUCUGAUGGCAAGGAAAGUUCAAGUAAUGGUGAAACAGACAGACUCCGCCCUUUAUCAGCACCUAGUGAUGAAUCUGACCCCGAUAAUUCAGCCACCAGAUUUAUCUCUACUACAGAAGCUUGACUUAUCCAGAACGUAAAUGUUGUCGUCAUUCUAGCAACUCGACAUCGCCAACUAGUGUUGGUAGCAAUUCAGUGAUGCAAAGCCCUCAUAUUAAGCAACCAGAAAGCAACGGAACCGCAGCCAAUGAUAUCACCUUGAAAAUGGAAGAUGACACUUCUCCACUAUGACAAUGAUGUAACAGAAGGAAGAUGAUGUGACCAUGGUGAUGUCAUAAACAGACUGUCACUCCUUAUAACAGUGCAUGAUCUUAUUCCUCUAAUGUCCAUUAAGCCCUCUUUUCAAGAAAUUUCUGUACUAUUCCGCAAUUUUCCCAUCUUUAAUUCUGUUAAUCUUGGGUUAAGGAUUGUAUUUUUAUAACGAUGGUUUUCAACCAGGAUUCCGCCAGUACAGUCCGAACUUCGAGUCUAUAUUAUUAUAGGCCUGUUAUUUAAACAUAAUCGGAGCUCCAGAAGUAUGUGCACUAGGGUUCAGGUUGUGCGCUAUCUUGGUGCACACACUUCAGGAGCGCCACAUAAUAGAAUACAUAUUAGGUUUGCCACUAUUAUUAAAUUUAACACCCUUUAAAAACAUUUUAUUUUGUCAGUAUGAGGUUUGCUUUUACAUAUAUAGUCAAUACAAUACUUCUUAUUGCAGCAUUGCACAGGAAUUCUUCUCGACAAACAGGUUGAAAACCACUGUUCUGCCACCUAACCUAAACAGAAUAGUAUAAAAUCUGAUUUUUCUGUGUUAUUCAAUGAUAUCAAAUAAUAAUGAUUAGGCGAUUCUGAUAAGUUUAUGUAUUACAUGGCGACACGCUCCAAUAAAUGCCGCGGUAAGCCAUCUAAUCCGAUAAUUCAGCCAUCUUUCUGACAUUUCUCUUCCUGUGAUAAAUAUGAAAAUAAUCACAAUCAACCUAACGUACUUGCUAUUAAAGAAGCUUCCUGUUUGAGCUUUAACCCCCCAAAUCUUUUAUUUUUUAAAUUCAAUUAUUUUUUAUGUUGUGCAGCAGAUUUUAAUCAUGUAUAUUUAAAUUUUGACUCUGAGCGCUACCUAGUUUACCUAUGAAAUUGUAAAAUGAGCUAGAAACAGCCAUCAGUUACAUAACCACCCUACGAUAAUGAGGAGUUUCACAAUCCUUCGUGCACAUAAUUCCCCCCCCAUACAGGAAUUCUAAUUUGCAAACCCAUUUAGGGUGAUCAUUAAUUAGAUGGCGAGUGUAUUCCAACACUUCGCACAAUGUUAUUAUGUUGCGUACUCUCCAAUUUUCUUUUCUAUCAGUUCCAUUUCUAGUCGAGUCCUCACUUUAGUAGCCCGACAUAGAAAGUAUCCCAGCGCCUCUCUUAUUUUUGAUACAAUAUAUUGUUAUCAACUACUUUAUAAUUUUAAUUUUAGAACUAUUUUUCUGUAGUUUAGAACGUACAUAGUUUCAGUAUUACAGUAGAAUUUUAGAGUUCAACUUUUUUCAACUAAUUUUCAGUACUUUUACGUUGUGUUAUUAAUUAUAAGUUAUUGCAACCUUUUUGUGAUGAACAAGUUUCAAAGCAACAAAUACUUAUAUACUUAUUAUACUUGUAUUUUCGACAAAUUGCAAUGAACAAAAUAUAGUAAAUGCGAUCAAUAGAAAUCAAGUAAUGUUAGUUUAUCGCUACCACUCCUACCAUGUUUUCCACAAUACAACAAUAAAUUUACACGUUUCGAUAUUUUUUUUUGCGUUGCAUUUUUCUUUUUGAGUCAAAUCAUGUUUAAUAUUAAAUUUCCAUCAUAACUUGAGUCUUUAGUAAUAGCUAAAAUGGACAAUUUGGUUACUACGGUAGUGUUUCUACACAAGAUUAGGGUUGGGCCAUAAUUUUUUUCUGAUUUUCCAUAUUUUAGUUCUAUUACGAGUUCGGGGAUUGUCUGUGUAAUCCAAAUGAAUAUACCCCCUGCCUAAUAGGCUUCAGUGCCUUCACACAACUUAAUGUGAAGUAGGUGAACGAAAUUAGUUACAUCCAUAUUGGUACACAUACUCAUGGAGCGCCCAAUUUUGUGCUCCAUGCUACUCCUUUGUACCAUCAAGUUCCAAAAAAUCCUAUGUUUUGAAAUUUAGGUAAAAACUAUGGCCCAUAACUACUCCCCAAGGCUUUUAGGAACCUAAAUUUUAAAAUAUCAGUUCUGAAAAAACGAAUUAUGGGUCCUUCGUAGCCUAAUUUGUAGCUUUUAGCUUCUUAUAUAGCUUAGUUUCUAUUGUGUUCAUUUGUACAAAAAAGUCAUAUGUUUUAUAAUAAAAAAAAAAUAGUGUA